UCAACUUCCAUCAAUUAGCAUCCAAUUCUUCUCAAGACCAUGAAAUAUUUAUUUCUCACAGGUUCUUCUUCGGUCAAUUUCUCAGAUUAGGAGUUGAGUAAACAUCAAUAUGCUCAAGGUAAUGCACCCUACUUUGCAUAGUAAACGAUACUGGGCCAUUUUGAUUGCAAAACAUCUUUGAUAAACUGAAGAUGAUGCCACAACCCAGCUUUAGUUUAUAGAUUGCUGAGAGAUUGGCCAAUCUAAAAAAGAAAAUAUGGAUGCCAAGGUGAACAGUGGUGUGAUGUCUGUAGCUGGGACGUUGAAAAGUUUGUGUAAGUUCUUCUGGCUUUAUCUCAAAUAUUAAUUUCUUUGUACGCGUGUGCUUAUGUAGAAACAUCAAAUGUCUUAGAUAUCUUCUAGAAAAUCACGUGUUGAUGACAUUUCAGCAAAGAAGUGUGUAAUUUGCUUCUCAAUCUACAUUACUACUUAUGCUAUUUUGGUGCAAUGCUAUGUCUGAUAUCUUAUGACAGUCCUUGUAGAUUUUGUGUUGAUGUAAGUAUUGUACUAAACUCAUCUUUACGAUUAAAUACGGAGUUGCUAAGGGUCCUAUAGGUUGGAGAGACUAGUAUCCUAUUUUGUCAAGAUAGUAACUUCUUGUUCUAAAGUUUACUCUAUUACUUGUGUUCUAAAAUUUACCUUGUUUUACUAAAUUAUGUUGUUACUAAAUUUUUGCACUAUUGUACUAAAAUUUGCCUUGCUACUGUUGUACUAAAAUCUAACCAUUGAUUAGGAAGGAAGAGAUUAAGGGAGCAAAAAUAAUGAGGAAGGAGCGCUCAGAAGAAGUUACUAAAAAUCCACUUAAGGUGUGACCUUCACGUAACUCACAAAUCAUAAUCAGAUAUUCAUGAUAAUGGCACCAGACACAUGACAUCCAUUCGUAUAACUAUAUAUAGUAUAUUGUACUUGAUGCUAUUAUUGUUCCUUUUUAACAUGAUGCUUAUAUUGUUCCUUUUUAAAUUGAUGCUUAUAUUGUUUCUUUGAGCAUAAAGUAUAUAUUUAAAUUCUUGAAACCUUGCAUCUAUUUGUUCAGGAGAACUGCAGAUCUUUCUAUGAAAAUGAAGGUUGUGUUGUAUGCAGUACAUGUUUUUUUUCAAAGGAAGUACCUGAUAUCUUACAUUCUAUGUUUGCUUCAAGUUUACUUGAACUCAAUUGACAUCUAGCAGAUUUCUUCAUAAUAAAACAAGGAUCAAAAGUGUGUAAGAUGUAGGAUAUUGCUCCACUUUUCCGUCUGCAAUGUUACUAAUGUGAUAGCCUUCAACAUUUGUAUGUUGCUCCUCUACAUUUUUGUGCUCUGUUAACCUGAUUUUCUCUAUCGUAAAUUACUCAUUUCAUUAUUUGUUUUUGUAGAUUGCUGAGAUAAAUGGAGGAUGCAUGGCUCAGAUGUUGAUUGCAAGGCAUAGAAUGGGGAUAAUUAGAAUGUCAUUUUCAGGAAAAUGUUUGAAACAUUAUAGUUGAUUGGAAGGUCGAGAAUUUUGCUACUAGUAGAUAGCUCACAUCUUGUAAUGUUUGGAUCGUGCUCGGUGUAAUGCAACAUAGUUGAUUUAAUAUAUGCGAUCUUUCCGUUUAUUGUACUAUGCCUCCUAUACACUAUGUAUUGAACUAAUAAUUGUGGAUGGCAAUGUAUAAAAUAUCAUCAAUUAUUCAUGCUAUGUACCGAAGC
rnacentral:lncRNA from 1 species